rnacentral:miRNA from 1 species
UGGAUUGGCCAAAAAGUUCGUUCGGGUUUUCAUAUGAAAACCCGAACGGACUUUUCAGCCAACCCA